rnacentral:sRNA from 1 species
GGCAGGAGGUUCGACUCGAGCGAAGCGAGAGAACGUUGCGUCAGCAACGGCCCGCAGGGCGAGCCACGAAGUGGUGAGUCAUCCUCUAUCACCGACCA